UCAUGGUGGUGCUGUGCUGUCCUGUCCUUGAAUCCGACGAUGUCCCUCCUCCUCCUCCUCCUCCUCCUCCUCCUCCUUAGCUUAUUCUCUGGUGUGUCCGCCGAAGUGCCAUUGACGCGGACGCAUGUCACCAGCCUACCAGGCUUCAACGGCGCGCUCCCUUCCCGCCUCGAGACGGGAUAUGUGACCGUCGACGAGGAGAACGGGGCAGAGCUGUUCUACUACUUCUUCGAGUCUGAGGGCGACCCCGGCAGCGACCCCGUCCUCCUCUGGCUCACCGGCGGCGACCGCUGCUCCGUGCUCAGCGCCCUCUUCUUCGAGAUCGGCCCAUUGAAGCUGGUCAUCGAGCCCUACAACGGCAGCCUUCCGCGGCUGCACUACCACCCUUACUCGUGGACAAAGGUCGCCAGCAUCCUCUUCGUCGACUCGCCGGUCGGCGCAGGCUUCUCCUUCUCCAGGGAUCCCAAGGGGUACGACGUCGGCGACGUCUCCGCGUCACUGCAGCUCGUGAAAUUCCUCUCCAACUGGUUCGGUGGCCAUCCUGAGUACCUCACGAAUCCGUUCUACGUCGGGCGAGACUCUUAUGCCGGAAAGAUCGUCCCAUUUAUCGCGCAGAAGAUCUCAGAAGAUAUUGAAGCGGGGGUAAGACCGACUCUUAAUCUCAAGGGCUAUGUAGUAGACAAUCCAACUACAGGCGAAAGGAUCGACUACGAAUCAAAGGUGCCAUAUCUCCAUGGUGUCGGAAUCAUUUCAGAUCAAUUGUACGAGACAAUAAUGGAACGCUGCAAAGGGGAGGACCACAACAACCCCAAGAACGUGAUUUGCAAACAAGCUUUGACUAGGUUUAACGAUCUACUAAAUGAAGUUUCAAAGCCCCACAUUUUGUACAAGAAGUGCAUUUAUAUGUCUCUCAUCCCAAAAUUUGAGAGCAUGGACAGAAAGAUCCUGAAAGAGGAGCUUGGAAUACUAAAGCAUCGACCUCCGCGCCCUUCAAUACAAUGUGUUAGCUAUUCCAACUAUUUGUCAUAUUUUUGGGCCAACGAUAACGUCACACGAGAGUAUCUCGGAAUCAAGAAGGGAAGCGUGGAUGAAUGGAUUAGAUGCCACGAUAACGAUCUACCGUACACCAAAGAUAUCAAGAGCAGCAUACAGUACCAUCACAAUGUUACAUUAAAUGGUUAUCGUGCUUUAGUAUACAGCGGUGACCAUGAUACCGUUUUGCCAUUUCUUGGUACACAAACCUGGGUGAGGUCACUCAACUAUCCCAUUGUAGAUGACUGGAGAGCUUGGCAUGUGGAUGGCCAGUCCGCAGGAUUCACCGUAGCAUAUGGAAACAACCUGACAUUUGCUACUGUUAAGGUCUCAAAUCGUGUAUCUUUGUUCACUCCGCCUCUGGAUUCCUCUGCAAUUUUGCAUAUAAGAGAAGCGAGAGCAUCACAUCAAACAUCUUGACAAAUCUGCCGCAUGCAAGUGGGUUAGUCACCGGAAGUAGUGUUGCUUGUGAGAUUACAGAUACGUACCAACUCGUGGGUGGUGGACAUACUGCACCAGAGUACCAGCCGGGGAGAUGCUCAGCCAUGUUUAGGCGCUGGAUUUCAAACAUGCCACUGUGAUAAAUUAAUGAUUAUGCUAGCCGGCUAGCUGUACAGUGUACACAAUAUGAUGGAUAUGUAUUUUCUCGAUUUCUGGUUAAUUAAUUACCUUGCACCAUGCUGUACCAGAUUCUGAAAUAUCGUACGCGGUCGAGGCAGAUAAAGUUUUUCAUGGAACAAGUCAUGCUGGUGCCAUGUGCCAAUCCUGAGCUAGUGCUUGAAAACAAAAGCUUGAUCUGUCCAAUCAUUUGAAGAAUUUUACUUCCUCUUUAUCUUCA